rnacentral:rRNA from 1 species
AGAAUAUCAAGGAAGGAACNCCGAAUGCGAAGGCAAGAUCUCUUGGCCGGUAACUUGACGCUUGAGGAGCGAAAGCGUGGGGAAGCGAACAGGAUUAGAUACCNUGGUAGUCCACGCCGUAAACGUUGGGCGCUAGAUGUAGGGACCUUUCCACGGUUUCUGUGUCGUAGCUAACGCAUUAAGCGCCCCGCCUGGGGAGUACGGCCGCAAGGCUAAAACUCAAAGGAAUUGACGGGGGCCCGCACAAGCGGCGGAGCAUGCGGAUUAAUUCGAUGCAACGCGAAGAACCUUACCAAGGCUUGACAUACACCGGAAACGGCCAGAGAUGGUCGCCCCCUUGUGGUCGGUGUACAGGUGGUGCAUGGUUGUCGUCAGCUCGUGUCGUGAGAUGUUGGGUUAAGUCCCGCAACGAGCGCAACCCUCGUUCUAUGUUGCCAGCGCGUUAUGGCGGGGACUCAUAGGAGACUGCCGGGGUCAACUCGGAGGAAGGUGGGGAUGACGUCAAAUCAUCAUGCCCCUUAUGUCUUGGGCUUCACGCAUGCUACAAUGGCCGGUACAAAGGGCUGCGAUACCGUAAGGUGGAGCGAAUCCCAAAAAGCCGGUCUCAGUUCGGAUUGAGGUCUGCAACUCGACCUCAUGAAGUCGGAGUCGCUAGUAAUCGCAGAUCAGCAGCGCUGCGGAA